GACGAACGCUGGCGGCGUGCUUAACACAUGCAAGUCGAACGGAAAGGCCCUGCUUUUGUGGGGUGCCCGAGUGGCGAACGGGUGAGUAACACGUGAGUAACCUGCCCUUGACUUUGGGAUAACUUCAGGAAACUGGGGCUAAUACCGGAUAGGAGCUCCUGCUGCAUGGUGGGGGUUGGAAAGUUUCGGCGGUUGGGGAUGGACUCGCGGCUUAUCAGCUUGUUGGUGGGGUAGUGGCUUACCAAGGCUUUGACGGGUAGCCGGCCUGAGAGGGUGACCGGCCACAUUGGGACUGAGAUACGGCCCAGACUCCUACGGGAGGCAGCAGUGGGGAAUAUUGCACAAUGGGCGGAAGCCUGAUGCAGCAACGCCGCGUGCGGGAUGACGGCCUUCGGGUUGUAAACCGCUUUCGCCUGUGACGAAGCGUGAGUGACGGUAAUGGGUAAAGAAGCACCGGCUAACUACGUGCCAGCAGCCGCGGUGAUACGUAGGGUGCGAGCGUUGUCCGGAUUUAUUGGGCGUAAAGGGCUCGUAGGUGGUUGAUCGCGUCGGAAGUGUAAUCUUGGGGCUUAACCCUGAGCGUGCUUUCGAUACGGGUUGACUUGAGGAAGGUAGGGGAGAAUGGAAUUCCUGGUGGAGCGGUGGAAUGCGCAGAUAUCAGGAGGAACACCAGUGGCGAAGGCGGUUCUCUGGGCCAUUCCUGACGCUGAGGAGCGAAAGCGUGGGGAGCGAACAGGCUUAGAUACCCUGGUAGUCCACGCUGUAAACGGUGGGUACUAGGUGUGGGGUCCAUUCCACGGGUUCCGUGCCGUAGCUAACGCUUUAAGUACCCCGCCUGGGGAGUACGGCCGCAAGGCUAAAACCCAAAGGAAUUGACGGGGCCCCGCACAAGCGGCGGAGCAUGCGGAUUAAUUCGAUGCAACGCGUAGAACCUUACCUGGGUUUGACAUGGAUCGGGAGUGCUCAGAGAUGGGUGUGCCUCUUUUGGGGUCGGUUCACAGGUGGUGCAUGGCUGUCGUCAGCUCGUGUCGUGAGAUGUUGGGUUAAGUCCCGCAACGAGCGCAACCCUUGUUCACUGUUGCCAGCACGUUAUGGUGGGGACUCAGUGGAGACCGCCGGGGUCAACUCGGAGGAAGGUGGGGAUGACGUCAAGUCAUCAUGCCCCUUAUGUCCAGGGCUUCACGCAUGCUACAAUGGCUGGUACAGAGAGUGGCGAGCCUGUGAGGGUGAGCGAAUCUCGGAAAGCCGGUCUCAGUUCGGAUUGGGGUCUGCAACUCGACCUCAUGAAGUCGGAGUCGCUAGUAAUCGCAGAUCAGCAACGCUGCGGUGAAUACGUUCCCGGGGCU
rnacentral:rRNA from 1 species